rnacentral:misc_RNA from 1 species
UUCAAUGGCUGACUGUUGUGCUGUUUUAUAAAUCAGUUAUUGGUCAAAUAGAAUUAAAUUGUGUGAGAAGUAAUGAAGAUUAAACGCUUUGUGUGAUUUUUUGAUGAAAGUUCAAAAUGGUGAUACAGAAAAACUGGAAUAAUGGGGAGGCGUCGCAACAAAAUUCAGCUUCAGAAAGCUCAUCAAGUACGACAUGGAGCUUUCAAGCUCCAGUGAAAGCUUUGAGUAUUCGAAGCGUUGCACCAAACAACGCACAAGUAAAACAGCCUGUGACGCGCCAAAUCGCAAUUAAUACGCUAGCAGCAAUGCACCGAAGGUUUAGUUUACCUGGCCCGGUGCAGCCUCACUCGAGACCCAUUUCAGAAUUCAGAGCCAGCGCUAACAAGUCACUGGACAUGUUGCGACAGACCAUACAGUCAGCCGUCACUAGAGAAAUUGAUCAAGUUAUCAAAAAGUAUUUGGAGAAAUUCUUCGUUCCGGCUGUCAAUAAUAUAAGACUGAACUUGGGAGAUGAAUCUGUCAGUGAAGAUCAGGUGAGAGCAGUAUGUCGUGCCAUGUUAGAUGCUACUCGGCUUCUUUAUACAACUCCUCCAAAACCCGCACCAUCUCCAUACGAGACCAGUGAUUCCGAAUCAAGUAACAGUGUUGACUCGAAAUUUGCCAAGCAAACAAAUAGUCCACUCAAUAAGCGGAAAGACACCGACUCAGAUGCCGACCUGAAUGCAAAGCGCAAGAAGAUUAAGGAGGAGUCUUGUGACAGUGCGUCGUCGUCACCACUUCCUUCACCAGCCAUAAGGGAUCUAGAGAAAUGGAAUCCGGCGAGGUUGACGCAAGAGACGCUAUUUAUUAUGGGAUCUCAUGCUCACAAGGUUCUGGGUCUUGGCAACUCGCGUGGGAGACUGUACACCAGACACGCAGGUUUGCUUAGGUAUCCAGCCGAUACUGCAGAUAAGGAGUGGAUUGCUAGUCACAACCUGGUCAAUGCUGUUGGAGGGAAAACUUACAUUAUGGUUUUAGAAGACAUUGAAGAGUUAGCAAAUAGUGAAGCUUACAAACACAGCUCAUUGCCUAUGCUUGGAGAACUGACUGGCUUUAAUGUGCCACCUUUCAUGCUGCGCAAAAUAAAGGCUUAUGUUACAAAGAGAGCCCUUAGUGGCGACUUGUCUAAUGCUGACAGUCCUCAACCGUCGAUGAGUCUGCAAGAAGACGAAAAGUUCAAAACUGAAGACAUCAAAAUUGAACAAGAUACAUUCGACAAUUUUAACCCCAGUCAAUACAACACAGAUAACUCGAGAGAUUUCCCCGACAUUAUGAAAGAAGAUCCAGAUUUCGCUGAUAUAAAAGUCGAGGAUAUUGACGAUAUAAAAGUUGAUGGAAUUAAAGUAGAAGACCUUGAUGCUUCUAUCAAGGUUGAGAAUAUUGAUGACAUUAAUGUGGAUGGUAUUAAGGUUGAAGAUAUAAAGUUGGAAAAUGAAGAUUUUGAUUUGUGUAAGCAAACUGAUGAUGAUGAACAAAAUCCUCUAGUUGAUGGUUUGUUGGAGGCGGACAUUGAGUUUCUGAGUCGGAAUUUGGGGAACAUCGAAAGUGAUGCUGAUGCAAGGAAAACCAUUGAGAAACUGACCGGUGCUAAUCCUGACACCAUAACGCUUGUUGGAGACGAAUUUGAUAUAGGGACAACAUUGAAUACAAGUUUUCCGACGUCAGCACAAACAACUAAAUGCAUCACAGUAGCGUCCACAACCAGCGGUAUGGUGCAUAGUGUGCCUGUGGCUCACAUCACCCCCCCUCGCAUCACAGGCAGCACUGUGCACUACUACACCAGUAAUGGGGUGCAGCCUAGUGGACAGAGGACCAUACACCACUUGCCGCAGGCUACUGUCACUAUCCAAAGCAUCCCUGGGUCCACUUCGCAGAUGAUUCGCGGAAUCCCGAUUAACGCAAAAUCCGGAACAUUUAGCACGGUGAUGUCGCAAGGCACAGCGAGCACCAUAAUCGGCUUCGGGACACGCACCAGUAACGCCACCAUCAUCGGGACCCCUCAGUACGUCAACGUCUCUUCCAAGUCCUUCCCCACCGGUAGAAUUAUGCAAUAAUUUGCACAAGAAGUUCUUUGACUCAAUCACCUUCGUUAUGUCUGGAAGAAACGUAAAUCGCUGAAAGGGAUCUCAGGGGGCGAGUGGAAGCUGUUCAAGAUUCGUGGUCGCGCCACGGCUCUACGUGACUCCUGCCGCGCGCUUUAAAAUUAGAAAUAUGUACUCGCGCACUCGUAGGGACGAACAUGUCUAUUUUAACUUAAAAUAACAUACAGUUAAUCGUUUUUUAUGGAACUGCUGAGUUUUUUGUAAUAAACAGUAGCUAGAG